AUUGUUGCUUGAACAUCUCAUUGUCGGUUUGUUCAUAUCAUCACCGGCUUGUACAUAAUAUUGUUAGUUUGUACAUAAUGUUGUCAACUUAUACAUUGCAUUGUCAGCUUGUAAAUACACUGUAUUAUUGUCUGUUUGUACUUUAUACUGUCGGCAUGAACAUAUCAUUGUCGGUUUGUACUUAUCAUGGAUAUUAUUGCCGGAUUGAGCAGCUUGUACAUAAUAUUGUAGGUCUGUAUAUAUUAUUGUCGGCUUAAGCAUAUUAUUGUUGGUUUGUAUAUAUUAUAAUCAGUUUGUGAAUAAUAUUGUUGGUUUGUACAUAUUAUUGUCUUUUGUACAUAUUGUCAUUAUCAACUUUUACAUAUC
rnacentral:sRNA from 1 species